UCAGCAUGCUGCUCCCAAUGUCCAUAUGACUAAUGGUAAGGCCUUGCAAGCCAGUGCAAGUGCUAUUAAGACAAGCACCAUUCCAGUGAUCAAGAGACAGAGGCAAAAUUGGCUUGAUGCUUCAGAUGAUGGUUUCUUUAUAGCUACAGAAGAGACCAGUGCUGAAGCAGUUAGAAACCUUCUCACGAAAAAUUCGUAAGAAGUUCACCAGAUCACAGCUGAAAAGAGCUUCCAGAACACCUUGUACUCCUAUUAUUGYGAAGACAAAGUCUCUCAUGAACAAUAGGCAGGCACAAACAGAGCCUGAAACUAUCAUGCACUGAAGAUAACAACAGCAGCACCAUAACUGUGUCAGAAUCAUGUUUAAUUGUGAAUGCAGAUACAACAGGACCUUCCACAAGUAGAUAAAAGAUAGAAACACUGCAAAGCCAGAAUGUGGCUGGGUUUUGUAUUCUGGGCAGGAUCCRAUAGCAGCCCUUGUUUUCCCCCGUCUCUGCAAGGGCUACUUCUGGUUAGCUGUGCUAGCUGAUCUCCAAUUGUCCUACUGUUCUCCCCAACACCAGUCAUUAGAGUUGGCUGUUCAAGGAGGGAUGGGCACUAAACACACUGGAGUAUGGAUGCAGAGUACACCCUCCAACAUUUGUCUAUGCCUUCUAGUAGGAUGAUGCAAAAAUAUGCAGCUUUCAGGAUGCAGUGUCUUUAAAGCAGUAUUUAGCCUUGAGGGGCUGCAUUUUCAAAACCAGCUGCAGGCUUUGGGUGUUUGGAUUUUUCAGUGUCAGCYUGAGUCACUUUGGAUUUGGUUUUCUGAAGUGCUGAGCAUCCAGAGCCUCAACUGAGGACAAGCAGUUGCUCAGCAGUUCUGAAACUUAGACCAAAUUAGGCAGUGCCCAGAAUUAGUGGCCCGUUUUCAAAAUGCUGGCCAUAUUAACUUUGGUUAAUAUGCUGGAAAGUAUCAUGUCUGACAGCGAACAUCCAGCUGGGCUAGCUGCUUGUGUAGGAACUAGUCCCAUUGUCUGUAUGUUUGCAAGCAUCCAUCUGUUUCUUUGGGUAUUUUUAGCAUUUCUUGAAUUCUAUUC
rnacentral:lncRNA from 1 species